rnacentral:lncRNA from 10 species
GACUUGCUCGCGGUAGCUCUUUUCGUUGAGGCAAACCCCGCGGCCGUGCAGCAGGGCGACCGCGGUGAGCAACACCAUCUUCUCUUAGUCGCCCCCUUUACCUCGGGGUGGGGCAGGAGAGCGAGAGUGCAGGGAUAAAGGGGCCAAGAGGGCCCCCGGAGAUUUUUUUGUUUUUGUUUUUGUUUUAAAAUUUCUGGCAGGUAGAGCAGGUGCCCUCCCCCAGACACUUGCAAAAAUGUAGAGAGAGGUGGAGGGCUGGGGUGCCUGCGAGCAGGUCCCAGUUGCAAGAAUUAAAGCCUUGCAACAGGUUGGGGGAAGCAGGGCAGCGCCAGGUGCACGCAGUGAGCGGAGGCCGGAGAAACCCUCAAGCCUGAGCGGGUCAGAAUUAUAGGGGAAAAAAAGCCACAAAAUUGUUCACCCCCAAGCAACCACCGAAAUAAUGAGAUCGGAUGCAGUGGAGAUGGCGUUGGCUGCAGCCGAGAGGGUGGGAGAAAAUGUUGAAAUCAAGAAAUUAAAAAACAAAAACAAAAACAAAAAAACCCCAAACCCUAACACCUCUUUUCUCCCACUUUGCCACCUCCUCUUCGAAAUUCGCAGGUUCUACGCGAAGUCCGGAGAAGGGUGAAAACGGAGGAGGGGUAAUGAAAAGGAGCAAAAAAGGGAAAAAGCCCACACUGCUUUGCAGCUCUUUCCUAGCUCUUUUCCCCUGCAGAAGUUUCCAAAGAGACUACGGG